CCAGGUAUGAGUUCCAAGAACAAAGACUAAGUCUGUCCUGUUAAUAAUUAUAUCUGACAACUCAGGACUUGCUUGGUGCAUCGUUGGUUGAAUCCACAGAUGCGGCACCCACAGAAAUGGAGAGACAAGUAUAUAUUGUGUGGAGUCAAUAAUGCUGGUACAGAGAUUGUGGCCUAAGAUGCAGGGCUCCAGUCUGUCGAGAUUUGGCUCAUGGGUAAACAGUAAAGCAAUUCUUCAGGAAAAAGAACACAAAGGACUCCUGGUUUGGGCAAAAUGGUAAGAGGAGGACGUGUCUAAUUCACGAUCCUUUUCAACCUUUUUAAUAUCUCCCUUAGAUUAUUAAAACAUUGUUGUUAAUUUAAAUAUAUAUGAAGCAAGUAAAUCCAAACUGAUCUCCUCUUCAGUCUGAGGCCAGUGGGGGAUAGGGGUGGGAAUGGGGACGGGGACUGGGAU
rnacentral:lncRNA from 13 species